CAAAAGUUCAUUUGGUUUUUUCCAUAACAUCUUUACCAAAAAGCCCUGAAUGAACUUUUUGG
ensembl:miRNA